ensembl:piRNA 21ur-9427 ncRNA
UUCAAUGAAUUUAAUAGAUUU